GAAGAGAAGAGUCGCUGUUUGACAGUCACGUGACUGUGGCGGCAUGCGGGUCCACUUCCGGUCACUGGUCACGACAGCGGACGGAGAACGCACUUACUGGGUGCAGGCUUCUGCCGGUGAGUACAGUGAAGCGAAAGAGGCGAGGGAGGGGCAGGGCGUGCAAGGCUGUGAUGAUAACGGACCAUGGGAUUUCAGGGGGGUGAGGAAGAAGGGAGAGGGGAGAAGGGCGAGGGACCAUGACAAGUGGCAGGGGACCUGCAGUCCCAGGAGGGUUGAGUAUCAGCCUUUUAUUUUUAAGUCUUACUAGCUGUCAUGGACAAAUUUCGCCACCUUUAAAUGAAACGCCUAGUCAAAGCACAACAAGGUGGACACUGGACACUUCAGGGGGUGCGUCGAAGCUCACCUGCGCACGGGACGAGGAGCUGGUUCCUACACGGACUCACACCACCUGGAAAGAGAGAGCUCCGCCCCGGAGCCCACUUGCGCUCCCAUCGAGCCCCUAUGCUGGAUGCCUGUCACCUCGCUUUCCCGUGACCUCCUCUCGCCCCCCUCCCCGGGCAAGCCUCUGUCUCUUUCAUGCAGUUCCCACUAUGUCUAACUGUCUGUUAAUGUCGCAUCUAACGAUGGGAGGAGAGGGACACUCAGAAGACAGCAAACUUUACGACCUUGGAAAAGCUGACCAUCAGCUCACUGGACUUGUGGAAAGCCACUUUUAAGGCAACAGCACGGGAUUUUCAGUCACUGAACGUCAUUUGCAAGCAACAGAGUAAAAUGCAUAAGCAGUUACAAAGUCCCAAUACAUCUAAUUUCUUUUCUUGUCGGUUUCUCUUUAAGAAACGGAUACUGACACAAUUUAUGCUGCUGCUCAGCAUUUAGGGAUUCAUAGCAGAGACUGUAUAAUCCGAACCGAAAAAGACAGUACAGCACAGUAUUUCAGCGUCAUCUCAACUUGGUUCACAGCAAACACACACCAUGCGUAUUUUUUACGUCUUUAAGAUAACACAGAGACGGACACCCAGCAAAC
rnacentral:lncRNA from 1 species